rnacentral:rRNA from 1 species
ACUGAACGCUGGCGGCAUGCUUUACACAUGCAAGUCGAACGGCAGCGCGGUCUUCGGCCUGGCGGCGAGUUGCGAACUGGUGAGUAAUUCAUCGGAACGUGCCCAGUAGUGGUGGACAGCCCGUCGAAAGCCGGAUUAAUACCGCAUACGACCUGAGGGUGAAAGCGGGGGACCGAAAGGCCUCGCGCUAUUGGAGCAGCCGAUGUCGGAUUAGCUAGUUGGUGGGGUAAAGGCUUACCAAGGCGACGAUCCGUAGCUGGUCUGAGAGGAGGACCAGCCACACUGGAAAUGAGACACGGCCCAGACUCCUACGGGAGGCAGCAGUGGGGAAUUUUGGACAAUGGGGGCAAGCCUGAUCCAGCCAUGCCGCGUGCGGGAAGAAGGCCUUCGGGUUGUAAACCGCUUUUGUUCGGGAAGAAAUCCUCUGGGCUAAUACCCCGGGGGGAUGACGGUACCGAAAGAAUAAGCACCGGCUAACUACGUG